GAAGCGGGGGGGGGACGUCGGAUAGCGUAUCCUAACGUUGUUGCAGUUCCACAUCUCGUAGUUGAAGUGAGGGAGUGUGUAGUAGGACCGACUUGAUCGGAACUGCUCCAACCUCCCCCUUCCAAUCGGUGUAGUGGGGUAUUCAGUUAUUUCACUACUCCUUUGGUCGUUCACUGUGAGAAAAUUAGAGUGUUCAAAGCGGGCGUUUGUUUGAAUAGAUUAGCAUGGAAUAAUGAUUGAAGGCUUUCGUGUUCGAUUUGAUUGGUUUGUUCAUGGAAGCAAGGUUAAAAGGAACAGUUGGGGGUAUUCAUAUUCACUAGUUAGAGGUGAAAUUCUCGGAUUUAUGGAAGAUGAACAGGUGCGAAAGCAUUUACCAAGGAUGUUUUCAUUAAUCAAGAACGAAAG
rnacentral:rRNA from 1 species